ACUGCAGAGGAUCCAUUGGUGAGCAAGUCAUUUAAUGCCAAAUUUCCUGAUGAAAAAACUAACUAACAGACAUCUUGGAUGGCCUGAGGAGGAAAGAAAGUCAUACAAGUUUGCAACAACAUGAAGGUCGAAUCCCUGCUGUUUUCGUUCUCUUGUAAGAGAGAAACGAAAGAUGCAUUUGUCAUCUGUGACAUCUUCAGCGCAGAGUUCAGCAAUGAAUCUGACAGAGUUGACCUACACCAUCUCAAACGGUCACAGUGUGCACUUACAGUGAGUGCACUUAUGAAAGAGGGCUCUUAGUGCGGAUCUACAGAAAUACUGUCAGCAUACUGUGUGCAUUAAGCACUCUGACCAGCCGUGUGUGUGUGUGUGUGUGUGUGUGGAUUAGCUAAAGCUGGAA